AACGCUACGAAUUAAUUCCAACACCUAAUAUAAUUCAACAUGAUCUUUUAUUUAGAAUGAAAUUCUAGAUAAUCAAAAAAGCACAACCACUGUUAAGAGUUCUGAUUAGCCAUCGCAGUGGCCAAUUAUGAGAUUGAUUCUUUGGGUAUCCCUUCAUGCAGUGUCAAAACUACAGCGGUUUCAGCACAUGAAAACAAGUUCAAAAUGUCUAAUAAACAUACGUCCGAUUCCGAACGAUUUCGGAAUUUUUUCUCGACGAAAUUGUUAGAUAAUAUUUUCGAAAAAACUACUGUUUUUAUGCAAUAAAAACUUAUUGAUGAAUAAAUAAAAGUGUGAAUACAGUAGAACCCGAAUUAUUAUGGUAGAGGACUUUUUGAUUUAGUUUAGUUCGCUCUAUUUAUCUAUAAACAGUGAUACACCUAUGUAAUUGAAGUUUGGAGCGUUCAUGGAGCGAAGAUUAAAAGUAAACCCAAACCACACAGACAGACAAUUGACGAUCUCUUGUAUGUAUACGUAUAAUCGAAAAAAAAUUUCCUACACUUGUUUCUGAUUGAAAUUAAAAUAGGAUAAUGUCCGAGAUUGACGAUAAAAAAAAAUGUACAUCUAAUGUCAGACACCAUAUACGUCGUUGAUGCCGAUCUAUCAUUGUCUCUUAAAAUAUAAGCUUUUCCUGCAAA